CUGCUCAGAUUGAACGCUGGCGGCAGGCCUAACACAUGCAAGUCGAACGGUAACAGGAAGCAGCUUGCUGUUUCGCUGACGAGUGGCGGACGGGUGAGUAAUGUCUGGGAAACUGCCUGAUGGAGGGGGAUAACUACUGGAAACGGUAGCUAAUACCGCAUAACGUCGCAAGACCAAAGAGGGGGACCUUCGGGCCUCUUGCCAUCGGAUGUGCCCAGAUGGGAUUAGCUUGUUGGUGGGGUAACGGCUCACCAAGGCGACGAUCCCUAGCUGGUCUGAGAGGAUGACCAGCCACACUGGAACUGAGACACGGUCCAGACUCCUACGGGAGGCAGCAGUGGGGAAUAUUGCACAAUGGGCGCAAGCCUGAUGCAGCCAUGCCGCGUGUAUGAAGAAGGCCUUCGGGUUGUAAAGUACUUUCAGCGGGGAGGAAGGGAGUAAAGUUAAUACCUUUGCUCAUUGACGUUACCCGCAGAAGAAGCACCGGCUAACUCCGUGCCAGCAGCCGCGGUAAUACGGAGGGUGCAAGCGUUAAUCGGAAUUACUGGGCGUAAAGCGCACGCAGGCGGUUUGUUAAGUCAGAUGUGAAAUCCCCGGGCUCAACCUGGGAACUGCAUCUGAUACUGGCAAGCUUGAGUCUCGUAGAGGGGGGUAGAAUUCCAGGUGUAGCGGUGAAAUGCGUAGAGAUCUGGAGGAAUACCGG
rnacentral:rRNA from 1 species